rnacentral:rRNA from 1 species
UACAGAGGUGGCAAGCGUUGUUCGGAAUUACUGGGCGUAAAGGGCGCGUAGGCGGCCAUCUAAGUCAGACGUGAAAUCCCCCGGCUUAACCUGGGAACUGCGUCUGAUACUGGAUGGCUUGAAUCCGGGAGAGGGAUGCGGAAUUCCAGGUGUAGCGGUGAAAUGCGUAGAUAUCUGGAGGAACACCGGUGGCGAAGGCGGCAUCCUGGACCGGCAUUGACGCUGAGGAGCGAAAGCCAGGGGAGCAAACGGG